rnacentral:lncRNA from 1 species
UUACUCUGUGCGGUUAAAUGCGUGCCGCACGCGCGCGCGCGCGCGCACACACACGCAGGGGGUCGCCCUGCAUGGGGGGAGGUGAGUGGCACAGGUGCCUCGGACUUUCCUGGGCUCUGCCCUUGGGAAGCAGAGCGAGGGGGACGGCCUCGAUGUGGCUGCCACCAUGAGACAGGUUUCCUGCUUCCUCAAUUAGAAGAUAUUUUCUUCCACCAUAUAAUGAUAGGAAUGAAGAUAGCCAAGGCAUAUCAAUACCUCUGGCUCAGGAAGUAUCUUCUCCUCAUCUCCUCACUUGUGUGGUCACUGAAGACAAUACUGACCUUGACAACAGUCACCUUGCCAGUUCCAUUGACUUGCUUCUUCAAAGACAAAUAUGUGAACAAAGUGAAAACUGCCUGACUUCUUAUUUUUACUUAAAGUUUUUUUUUUUUUUGGCUCUCUGAGCCUUUUUAGCUUUCACUGUUGUUAUGGCUGUAUCAUCAG